CUAUCAUCCAGAAAGGUGGAGGGACUGGCCCAAAGAAGCCUUGGCAACCGUUAUUGUACUGCAAUAAUAGGUGCCAAUUCCAUCCUUAACAUGGUAACUACCUGUUAAGGAACGAUGAUGG
rnacentral:ncRNA from 2 species